rnacentral:sRNA from 1 species
UAAUCGCGGCGAUGUAAUCUCGUAUGAUC